GCCGCUGUAAUGCCGCCCAUCGGCAUUUACCUGACUCGAAAUCAGGCGUACGUGUAAGCGUACCGUGGGUUCGAAUCCCACCCUCUCCGCCA
rnacentral:tRNA from 1 species